UAAUACAACUGUGUAUACCAAAGGCAGUAAAGUAUUAAGAACACCUUCGACAGUUUUGGUAGGCCCGAGCACUGUAUAAUUAGAGAUGGGGCAAUUUUCUCAUUAUUUACACAGUUGAAAUGCACUGUUGAUGUUAUGGUGCAAUAUUAUUGACACAACUGCAGACACACACAAUCCUCACUUGGAAGGAUGCUGCAGGACCAGAAAAAUUACGGUGCAAGCUGAAACUGAACAAGGCAAUCUGAUCAAUCAAUGGGGAAAAUACCCUUGUCCAGUGACAUCCAAAUUUUUUCAUCAAAACAUUAAAAACUCUCUUACUUGCAAUUUAAAAUACAUAGAAAACUUAAAAAGAGCAAGGCUGAUAUUUAUUUAGUAUACUGUAAGUAAAAGCAUUGAGAAUUAAAUGUGAUUUUUAAAAGAUCAAUCAUAUUAAGAGUAGUUUGACAUCUUGCCAUUUGUGACAACACGGAUGGACCUCGAGGGUAUUACGCUAAGAGAAAUAAGUCAGACAGAGAAAGAGAAAUACCAUAUGAUUUCACUCAUGUGUGGAAGAUAAACAACCAAACACAUAGACACAGAGAACCAACUGAUGGUUACCAGAGGGGAACGGGGUUGAGGGAGGGUAAAAGGGCACAUGGGUACAACGACGGAUGGCAACUAGACUUCUGGUGGGGAACACGAUGUAAUCAAUACAGAAAGUGAAAUAUAAUGCUGUGCACCUGACAUCCACACAAUGCUAUAAAGCAACGUUACCUCAAUAAAAAAGAGCAGUUUCAACAGUGCUUACCUCUUCGCAUUGUAUAUUUUCUAUGACUUGAUGGAUUGCCCUAGUCCUUUCUAACUUUUGAUCAGCUUUCAACAUUGCAUUCUUCGCACUUUCACUGUCGUGUGAUGUUUCAGAGUUCCCUUAACGUCCAAGUUUUCACCAGCGUCACCUCCCCUGGGACGUCUUCAGCCUGGGCUCGUUCAUGUUGGUAAGCUCGCCUUCAUGAAGCUCCUCUGGUCACACACCUACACUGUCUCCUAAUCACAUCCAAGCUCACUUCUCGCAUCAUCACUUUUCACUUCUUUGCUGCAUUUCCAUCUUUCUUGGGCAAUUCCCUCUUUCGAUUAUCCAUUUCAGGGGGGAGACAAGAUGGCAACAAAACAACACAUUUUGUCGUCUGUGUGACGUGAAAAACAGAUAUGCCCUGAGUAACCACCGACAGAUCGCUGUUGUCACUGAUCAUGAUGUGCCUUCUUGAUCUAGGUAGUGAUCUGCAGACUGAACAGGUAGCAGAAACUUUGAACAGGCAGCAGCACAGUUUCUACACUGGGGUCACGGACAUGAAAACCACCUUGUGGGACUACUGGUCUUCUUUAAGCCGUGGUAGUUGAAACUUUUGCAUACAGGAACCAGGCAAUGUGAGCUCUCUCUCUCUCUUUCUCUUUCUGUUUUUAUACAGAAACAUCUGCUGGCAGGCAUUUUGGAGCCUCAGCUGUAAUGAAGAAUUAAUAGGCCAGGGUCUCAGGUAGAAUAGAAAUCCAGAGAGCAGAACCUGACAUUUGGCAACUGCCUUCGCCUCACGGCCAUUUGCAAACCCAGUAGAGGCUGAUGAGAGGCUACCUUACAUUUUUGGCAGAUGGAAGAGGUUAGGGGGACAAAG
rnacentral:lncRNA from 1 species